AUCCAGCUGUCGAGUCACAAAUAGGACAAAACGCGUGUCCUGGAU
rnacentral:hammerhead_ribozyme from 1 species